ACAUGUGGAUUGUAUCUCUUUUGCUGAGACUGGGGGCCAAGGGGAAGGAGUUUCAGGGGGAUAUUCAUUCACUGCUUAUAGACAGUCUCUCUACAGGUUCCCUAGAAGCAAACAAACAUUGAUAGUAAUUCUCCCAGUCGUCAGCAGAGAUUGGAAUAUCAAAUGCAAAUCUCCAUUUCUUUAGGACUCCUGCUACAGAGAAUAUUACUGAGUUAUGACUUUUGGCAGCCAGCUCAAGCCCUGACCAAACUGAAAUGGCAAACCUUUUUUACUUUAAUUUUAUGAGUUUUUUAUAUUCACUUCUUAUAUGCAGCAUCCUAGCUUGUAUGUGAGCAGUAGGAUUCCUCUGAGCAAGUCUCAUGGCUGCCUUCAGUUUCUUUUUCAACAACCAGUUUUCAAAAUCAAAACAACAAAAUCUAACUUUUGGCGGGAGGUUUAGUUAUUAAAUGUUUCUUCAGCAUAUUGUAGAGAUUAAAGAAUGCUUUGGAAACUGACAAUGCUUUGUUCUAGCCCAUUUAGCAGCAUUCUGUUUUAAGACUCUCUGAUAUUGCUUUUGUGUCAACUUUAGCACAAAUUAACCUUUUAUUUUAACCUGUAAUUAACCUUUAAUUAACAAUCUACCCAAAGGUUAACAAUAUUCUUUUACAACCAUAACUGCUGGGGAGCCACAAAAUCUGUUAUUUCAUUAGGAUAUACCCUGUAGUGUAAAAGUUGGGAAAGUGAGUUCAGUAUUACUCAUCUGUUAUGCUACCUCAAAGGAAUAUCAGCAACUUGGAGUAGAAUCCUGUGUCUCUGUAGAACUACCUCUCCUCUGUGAAGGAAAUAAAAAUUAAGGAAAUAAAAGUUAUUCUUUUAAUAAUUGUAGAAAUAAUUGUAGAAAUGUAAUGCCAUUAUAUGAAACUGUCUCUUUAGUACUAAUGUAAUGCUGUAACACAAAUGUAACAAUGCAAUGCCAAUAUAUGACCAAAUGUUUACUAUAUCCUGCCUAAAAAUCUCCCAGACAUAGGAAAUUACACUUUGAGUGGAAAUCCUACUAUCAAAGAAGGGGAUUUUAACCCAAAGUGAGAAUUCCAGAUAAACAAGAUAACAGCAGAUGGACGGAAGAGGUCAGGUUAACAAAGUACCACUUCAGAGAAAACCAUUAAGAUGAAAGAGAUGUGACAAUGCAUUGUAGGGCUAUAAAAUGCAAAACCUGAAACCAGGUCAGUGUGCUCCUGGAAUCCAAUCCAUAGGGAAGGAUCCAGGGGGCCGCGUUUGCAAACACCUCUCUCUUCUAUUCUUUUUCUUUCUUAUUCUGUUUAUGUUAUUUUCCAAUAAACCUUUGUUUUGUUAAUCAGACUUGUCUUCGUAUUGUGAGUAUAAAAAUUUGGGGUUUUUACAUCUCACAAUCUUGGUGGAGAAUGCGGGCAUUAAGAGCUUCUAGGGGACACUGUUCUCAGUAAAAUCAGGAGCGUGCCUAUUGAUUUCAACUGCCUGAAGUUAUCUGAGAUCUAGUUUCCCUUUGCAGGCUCCGAGCCAAACUAAAUUGACAACUCUGGUUUACAAAAAUCAAAGGACAGGAAAUAGGAAGAAAGUCAACAACUGAAGCCCAGACCAGGUAACCCAGUGCACUGGCCCAGGUAAGGAACUUUUGCCCCGAAGGAGGGAAGCAUGCAAUUGUACCUAGGUGGUCAGGAGAGCGAUUGUGGGAGGAUUUCUGCGAUAACGGCUGUGUAAGUGUAAUGGGCUGUGUUCUGGGAACACUGGUAAGUCCAGAGGAAUGCAGACCCGAAAGGUUGAGGUCCCUUACUCCUGCAAGGGGGAAGGCCAGCCUGAAGGGAAGCAAACUGGUGUUAAGAGUUUUGAGUGGCCGUCAAAUCGAGAACCUCAGGGAACCUCAGGGAAUCAGGAAAACUCUCAAGAAGAUGGGCUGUUGUUAAAGGCAUUCUUGCCCAAACUCCUUGGACUUUGUAGUACACCAAUACAAAGCAGGACAGUGGGUGUUGAUAAAAGCCUGGAGAGAGGAAAAACUAACUCCAACCUGGGAAGGACUUUACAUCGUCUUGUUAACCACUAAGACAGCUAUCCGGACAGCUGAAAAAGGUUGGACCAUUACUCCAGAGUAAAAGGGCCCGUGCCAGCCCCAGAGGAGUGGAAGGUGGAAUCUCACCAAGGAGAUCCACUGAAGCUAAAGUUCCGAAGGACUUCAUGGACUAAUAGUCAAUCUUCCUGACAGAAAGGGGGUUAAUAGAGGAAAAAUGACUAAACUUUAUAUUUCUUUUUCUAUCUAGAACCAAAAGAAAACCAAGACCUCCCGCAUGUGCUGAUUUUGUGGGUAUCUUUGUGGGUGUUGUUGCUGCUCUCACUGUAUUAAUUGUGUUCAGUGCACAGGGUGUGAGAUAGAGUGUGAUAUUAAGUCUUAGAAGAUGUAUUGGAACAUUACAAGAUGGUAUGUCUGGGGGGGUGUUUCUUAUUAUACUCUUAAAACCUGUCCAACCAUUAGAGUUAUUUAAGCAAUGUGUAAAAAUGACAAAGGGAGAAGGAAAAAAAUAUACACUGACUCCAAGUAUGUUUAUGGAGUCUUGAAUACUGGUGUAAGAAGAAAAAAAAAGUUAUGCUAGAGUGGCAGAAGGGAAGGAAGGAAUGGUUAAUAAAAGAAAGAAACAGGAAAGUUGUUUUAAGUUUGUUUGCACAGACUUGUGAAUUGCAUGCAUUAAGCAGGGAGACUGCCAUUAAUGCGGGCAGCCCAAACGUGUGAAUUGUAUGCCUUAACACAAGCCUUAGAAUGUUGAAGGAAUAAGAAUGUACUAAAGAUGGGAGGUGGAUGUUGCAAGAUGGGAGAGGGAUGUUGAAAAGAAAAAA